rnacentral:rRNA from 1 species
ACGGCUUCAGUAACACGUGGCUAACCUGCCCUUGGGACGAGGACACCCCCGGGAAACUGGGGCUAAUCCUUCGACAGGCCGAAAGAACUCUUGAAAUGAGUCCUCCACCCCAAAGACGCUUUAGAUCAUGCUUUCUAGGGCGUCGCCCAAGGGAUUGGGCCCGCGGCCCGAUCAGGGUGUUGGGUGAGGUAAAUGGGCUCACCAAGCCCUUAACCCGGUGCGGGGCCGUGGGAGCGGGAGCCCGGAGAUGGGCACUGAGACAAGGGCCCAGGCCCUACGGGGCGCAGCAGUCGCGAAAACUUUGCAAUAAGCGAAAGCUUGACAGGGCUAUCCCGAGUGCCAUCCGCUGAGGAAGGCUUUUACCCAGUCUAGUAAGCUGGGGGAAUAAGGAGAGGGCAAGUCUGGUGUCAGCCGCCGCGGUAAUACCUGCAGCUCAAGUGGUGGCCGCUAUUAUUGGGCCUAAAACGUCCGUAGCCGGUUCUAUAAAUGCCUGGGUAAAUCGUACGGCUUAACCGUACGAAUUCCGGGUAGACUGUUUAACUUGGGACCGGGAGAGGCUAGAGGUACUCCUGGGGUAGAGGUGAAAUUCUGUAAUCCUAGGGGGACCACCAGUGGCGAAGGCGUCUAGCUAGAACGGGUCUGACGGCGAGGGACGAAGCCCUGGGGAGCAAACGGGAUUAGAUACCCCGGUAGUCCAGGGUGUAAACGCUGCUCGCUUGAUGUUAGUCGGGCUCCGAGCCCAACUAGUGUCGGAGAG